UACGUAGGGUGCAAGCGUUGUCCGGAAUUAUUGGGCGUAAAGAGCUCGUAGGCGGUGUGUCGCGUCGGCCGUGAAAACCUGGGGCUCAACUCUGGGCGUGCGGUCGAUACGGGCAUCACUUGAGUUCGGCAGGGGAGACUGGAAUUCCUGGUGUAGCGGUGAAAUGCGCAGGAUAUCAGGAGGAACACCGGUGGCGAAGGCGGGGUCUCUGGGCCGAUACUGACGCUGAGGAGCGAAAGCGUGGGGAGCGAACAGG
rnacentral:rRNA from 1 species